CCUACGGGUGACAGCAGUGAGGAAUAUUGGUCAAUGGACGAGAGUCUGAACCAGCCAAGUAGCGUGAAGGAUGACUGCCCUAUGGGUUGUAAACUUCUUUUAUAUGGGAAUAAAAUGUUCCACGUGUGGGAUUUUGUAUGUACCAUAUGAAUAAGGAUCGGCUAACUCCGUGCCAGCAGCCGCGGUAAUACGGAGGAUCCGAGCGUUAUCCGGAUUUAUUGGGUUUAAAGGGAGCGUAGGUGGAUUGUUAAGUCAGUUGUGAAAGUUUGCGGCUCAACCGUAAAAUUGCAGUUGAAACUGGCAGUCUUGAGUACAGUAGAGGUGGGCGGAAUUCGUGGUGUAGCGGUGAAAUGCUUAGAUAUCACGAAGAACUCCGAUUGCGCAGGCAGUUCACUGGACUGCAACUGACACUGAGGCUCGAAAGUGUGGGUAUCAAACAGGAUUAGAUACCCGGGUAGUC
rnacentral:rRNA from 1 species